GAGCGGAGUGCGAGGUCGACUAAGAUGACGUGCCCCCGCCACCGAGAUGGCUACCGCCGUUAGGCUUUCCCUCGCUCCAGUCGCCGCCAUCGCCCACCUCUCCUCCCACUCCGCAGGUAGGAUUAGGGCUUCCGCGGUGAUGACAACCAUCGCCUUGACUCCGGCGGUGAUCGUGGGCGGCGGGAGAGUCGGUCGGAUGCUGCAGUCACUGGGCGACGGCCGUGACGUCCUCGUCGGGAGGGGUCAGCCGGUGCCCGCCGAGUUCGAAGGCCCCAUCCUCGUUUGCACUCGCAACGACGACCUUGAGGCCGUCCUUGCCUCCACCCCUCCCUCGCGGUGGAACGAUCUGGUGUUCUUCCAGAAUGGGAUGCUCGAACCGUGGCUUGAGAGCGAAGGGUUGGGUGAUGCGGAUCAAGUCUUGGCUUAUUUUGCUGUGUCGAAACUGGGGGAGGAUCCGAUCGAUGGCAAGACCGACACGAAUCCUGAAGGACUGACAGCAGCGUAUGGGAAAUGGGCAUCAGCAGUAGCCGCACGUCUCCAUGGUGGAGGCCUUUCUUGCAAGGUCCUUGAAAAGGAAGCUUUUCAGAAGCAAAUGUUGGAGAAGCUCAUAUGGAUCUCAGCUUUCAUGCUGGUCGGAGCCCGCCAUCCGGGGGCUACCGUUGGUGUUGUGGAAAAGGAAUAUCGAUCUGAAGUAGCGAGCCUCAUUGCAGAGUUAGCAUCUGCAGCUGCUGCAGAGAAACAACUAACGUUCGAAGAAGGCAUGGAGGAUAGGCUAUGUGCUUAUUCCAGGGCUGUUGCACACUUCCCGACUGCUGUUAAGGAGUUCAAGUGGAGGAAUGGCUACUUUUACUCUCUCUCAGAAAAGGCACUUGCAGGAGGAAGGUCAGACCCAUGCCCUCUGCAUACAGCUUGGCUCAAGGAACUCAGGAUCAUUUGAGUGCCUAGUCUGAGAAACAAGCAAAGCACCAGUGCAGAGAAAGUAACAUAACAUUACCUCCACAAGCAUUCUUAGUUGCUCAAGAUCACUGUGAGAUGAAGAAACUGCAUCAUGAGAAUUUCCAGGUGUUGGAGGACAAUCCAUCGUUGCCUCUUCCCAUGGUUGGUACAAUUUGUUCUUAUGAUGGGCAUGCGAGAAAAAAUUGUUGUGCUGAUCUUUCGGGAGGUUGCACAUAGCUUCUUCCUGUCUUGCAAUUGGCACUCUGUUCAUGCAUUUGGUUUCGAAAUGUUCUUGCGAAAGUUGGCUGCAUGUUCUAGACCCGCUUGGACGAUUGUGAUUCUCCUGAACAUCAUGGAAGUCUUGCAAAUUGACUGAUUUUGUUUGAUAAA